CGAGACGGCAGUACGCAUGCGCAAGCCGCGAGACGGCAGUACGCAUGCGCGACAUCAUAGACAGCAGCACGCAUGCGCGAGCCAUGAAACGGCAGUACGCAUGCGCGACAUCAAGGACGGUGGCAGCAGAUACCGUGGCAACAACAACUCCGCCGCCUUUUAGCGGACUGCCUGGGACCGUGGGCGCGCAUCCCCUUCUCUCUUUCUUUUCUUGGCAGAGGAUGGUGGGGGGAAGAAGGGGAGACGACAAAGAAAAGCAAGGAAAACUUCGACAAACCCUCCAACCCCGUGCUAAAUGCUUUGGUAUACCUGUAAAUAAAUGAAUACAUAACCAGCAAGUUGUUGUUGUCAUGCCUUUUUUUUUUUUUAAUAUGUGUAUGUGUAUACAUUUAUAUAUACACAUGUAUAUACAUAUUUCAGCCAGCAUCUGAGGUGAUGAAAAAACAUGGUAUGAAUUGCACGCAGUGAAGCCAAGGGUGCCUUGGAACAAUUAACA
rnacentral:lncRNA from 1 species